rnacentral:misc_RNA from 1 species
GCAACUUUCUAAAGAUGAAUCGAAGACUCUUUCAAGUCCGAUGGUUAAUGAUAGCAUAGUGCCCAUGGAAGAAGAUGCAGAACCCUAUCCUGAUGGUAGGGAGGAUGCUCUUGAACAUGUUCAUGAUAGUAUUUCUGGUUCUGAAACAGGUGCUGGAAUUUAUAGAAACAACAGCACUGAUGAACCAGAUAUGGUGUCUGCUGAAGUUUUGGAGAUGAAGCAGAAUAGCAAUGCUCCCACAAGGAAGCUGGGGUUUGGUUUAGUAGGCUCAGGAAAACGAACAACCGU